rnacentral:rRNA from 1 species
AGGGGGCAAGCGUUGUCCGGAAUCACUGGGCGUAAAGAGCACGUAGGCGGUCGCUGCGUCGGCGCUGAAAGCGCCCGGCUUAACCGGGCGAGGUGGGUCGAUACGAUCCCGCUCGAGGCAGUCAGAGGUUAGCGGAAUUCCGGGUGUAGUUGUGAAAUGCGUAGAUAUCCGGAGGAACAUCUGUGGCGAAGGCGGCUAACUGGGACUGACCUGACGCUGAGGUGCGAAAGCGUGGGGAGCGAACCGGAUUAGAUACCCGGGUAGUCCACGCCGUAAACGAUGUCGGCUCGUUGUUUGGGAAUGAUGUACCAUUCCUGAGUGCCUCAGUAUACACGGGAAGCCGACCGCCUGGGGACUACGAGCGCAAGCUUAAAACUCAAAGGAAUUGACGGGGGCCCGCACAAGCAGCGGAGCGUGUGGUUUAAUUCGACGCAACACGAAGAACCUUACCCAGGUUUGACAUGCUUCUGCAAGCCCACGGGGACGUGGGACCUACGAGGGUGAAGCACAGGUGCUGCAUGGCUGUCGUCAGCUCCUGUCGUGAGAUGUUGGGUUAAGUCCCGCAACGAGCGCAACCCUCGCUGCCAGUUACCAGUGUCUGGCGGGACAGCCGUCUAGAGAGACGGAGGAAGGCGGGGAUGACGUCAAGUCCGCAUGGCCCUUACGCCUGGGGUGACACACACGCUACAAUGGCCGGGGACAA